GACGAACGCUGGCGGCGUGCCUAAUACAUGCAAGUCGAACGCACGGUUUAUACCGUAGCUUGCUCCACCAUAGACUGUGAGUUGCGAACGGGUGAGUAACGCGUAGGUAACCUGCCUGGUAGCGGGGGAUAACUAUUGGAAACGAUAGCUAAUACCGCAUAAUAUUAAUUAUUGCAUGAUAAUUAAUUGAAAGGUGCAAUUGCACCACUACCAGAUGGACCUGCGUUGUAUUAGCUAGUAGGUGAGGUAACGGCUCACCUAGGCGACGAUACAUAGCCGACCUGAGAGGGUGAUCGGCCACACUGGGACUGAGACACGGCCCAGACUCCUACGGGAGGCAGCAGUAGGGAAUCUUCGGCAAUGGACGAAAGUCUGACCGAGCAACGCCGCGUGAGUGAAGAAGGUUUUCGGAUCGUAAAGCUCUGUUGUAAGAGAAGAACGGGUGUGAGAGUGGAAAGUGCACACUGUGACGGUAUCUUACCAGAAAGGGACGGCUAACUACGU
rnacentral:rRNA from 1 species